rnacentral:rRNA from 1 species
UACGUAGGGUGCAAGCGUUGUCCGGAAUUAUUGGGCGUAAAGAGCUCGUAGGCGGUCUGUCGCGUCUGCUGUGAAAACUCAGGGCUUAACCCUGAGCUUGCAGUGGGUACGGGCAGACUAGAGUGCGGUAGGGGAGACUGGAAUUCCUGGUGUAGCGGUGAAAUGCGCAGAUAUCAGGAGGAACACCGGUGGCGAAGGCGGGUCUCUGGGCCGUAACUGACGCUGGAGGAGC